UUUGGUUUUGCUGAUUUAUUUCUUCCAUUGUUGUUUCUUCUCUCUAUAUUUGGUUGAUUUGAUUCUUCUUUUUCCCUAAUUAUUACCCACAUAAAAAAUUUUCCUGAUUAUUAAAUAGCACAAACAAGAAAUCAUCAAUAAAAUGAAGCAAUUCUCCUAAAAACCUGAUUGUCCAAUACAAAUGCAAACUCACUGAUUAAAAGGUUGUAUUUUGCCAUUUACUAAUUAAAAGUUCCAAUAUUGAAGGUUAGUCUCAAAUAUAAAAACCUAAUCUUCCACUACUACUGUAGCAUAACCUAGUAAUCCUAACUUCAAAUCGAAAUAGGAUGCUAAUUAUCAACAAAAAUAUGAAUUAUAACGGAUUAUGAUUUACCUAAAUAUAAGUUCGCCCAACGCCCAAGUUUCAGUCUUCUUCCCUCCAGCACAAAACUCGUAAAAAUUUCAGUCAAAUGCAGUCUAAUGAAAUCCCCAAUACAACUUUCUGGAAAAUAGCAACAAUGGUAGCAAUAAAAAUAAUGGAGAAGAAAAAAUUCUAAAAGAGUUAAAUCUUAUACAACCUACCUUGGAGCAAUGACGAAGAAGAUUCCCAAUAAUUGAUGAUAUAUCAAUCAAUUGAAGGCUGGUGUAGGCGAUGCCGAUUAUUUCGAGAGACAGAGACGAGAUGAGCCUGGGAGAAACGUAGAACGGGAGAGGGGAUAUGAU
rnacentral:lncRNA from 1 species